AGAGUUUGAUCCUGGCUCAGAUUGAACGCUAGCGGGAUGCUUUACACAUGCAAGUCGAACGGCAGCACGAGAGAGCUUGCUCUCUUGGUGGCGAGUGGCGGACGGGUGAGUAAUAUAUCGGAACGUGCCCAGUAGCGGGGGAUAACUACUCGAAAGAGUGGCUAAUACCGCAUACGCCCUACGGGGGAAAGGGGGGGAUCGCAAGACCUCUCACUAUUGGAGCGGCCGAUAUCGGAUUAGCUAGUUGGUGGGGUAAAGGCUCACCAAGGCAACGAUCCGUAGCUGGUUUGAGAGGACGACCAGCCACACUGGGACUGAGACACGGCCCAGACUCCUACGGGAGGCAGCAGUGGGGAAUUUUGGACAAUGGGGGAAACCCUGAUCCAGCCAUCCCGCGUGUAUGAUGAAGGCCUUCGGGUUGUAAAGUACUUUUGGCAGAGAAGAAAAGGCAUCCCCUAAUACGGGAUGCUGCUGACGGUAUCUGCAGAAUAAGCACCGGCUAACUACGUGCCAGCAGCCGCGGUAAUACGUAGGGUGCAAGCGUUAAUCGGAAUUACUGGGCGUAAAGCGUGUGUAGGCGGUUCGGAAAGAAAGAUGUGAAAUCCCAGGGCUCAACCUUGGAACUGCAUUUUUAACUGCCGAGCUAGAGUAUGUCAGAGGGGGGUAGAAUUCCACGUGUAGCAGUGAAAUGCGUAGAUAUGUGGAGGAAUACCGAUGGCGAAGGCAGCCCCCUGGGAUAAUACUGACGCUCAGACACGAAAGCGUGGGGAGCAAACAGGAUUAGAUACCCCGGUAGUCCACGCCCUAAA
rnacentral:rRNA from 1 species